UACAGAGGUCUCAAGCGUUGUUCGGAUUCAUUGGGCGUAAAGGGUGUGUAGGUGGCGCCGUAAGUCGGGUGUGAAAUUUCGGAGCUUAACUCCGAAACUGCAUCGAUACUGCGGUGCUUGAGGACUGGAGAGGAGACUGGAAUUCAUGGUGUAGCAGUGAAAUGCGUAGAGAUCAUGAGGAAGACCAGUGGCGAAGGCGGGUCUCUGGACAGUUCCUGACACUGAGACACGAAGGCCAGGGGAGCAAACGGG
rnacentral:rRNA from 1 species